GAUCUUGCUGAGUCAAUGACCAUGAAGUUUAUUGUCCUCGUCCAUUUUAUUCCAGUGAGCUUCCACUUAAGUUCUUCCUGAUUAGUUUAUAACAAAAUUCAGAAACUAACAGAUGGGUCUCAAAUGUGCAAUUCUAGCUGUGGAAUUCAGCUGUGCCAGUUACCACCACUCCGAAAAUGCUUUAGCUCUAUAGCAGUCAUAACAUGGUUUACUCAGGCCCAGAGGAGUGAGCUGAUAUAAAGAAGCUGUGCCACACAGUCAGAUGGCGUCCGAAGGAAACAAUAGGGCUGAGUGAUGAGUAUUGAAGAAGAAAUCUAAAGAAAGAAUGUCUUAUCAGCUGACCGCAAAGCUGCCUCCUUUUACCUAACCACAUUGCUUACUAUUGUACUGCGUCUCUCUUGGAUGGAAAUGAUACACCAAUCACUCAUAAGUGAAUAAUUUCCUUCUAAAUCACAGGCCUACACCUGAGGUGGCUGCCACAGGUGUAGCCUGUUUAGACCAGCAACUAUAUUUACUCCAUGAUGACAGAAAACAGGAAAGAUGUAUCAUACAGUGCAUUUGCUCCUGCUAUUUAUAAAUAGACCUCUUUACAUUAGCACUACAUAUGAUUGUCUCAUCCACUUAUCAGCAAUUUAAUAUAUCACAGACAACAUAGGUUAAAAGCAAAAUAAGUUUCAAACACUAACCUCAGUUUACUCAUAAAUAUUUCACUUCUACAAACCUUGUUUAUUUAAGCUAUGGUUCUAUACAAAUUGGCAAGUCAUUCUUUAUUUUACUUUUCUGUGGUUCUAGACCCUUCUAGACUAAAGAUCCCUGACUUUACUGCUGCCUUUUCUAGAUGUUUUCCUGAGUACAAAUGUGAGCUUAUUGUUAACACCAGUCUCUUUCCCUUUAAGAACUGGUUUUUCUCUGAUGGCUCUGGUCUAAGA
rnacentral:lncRNA from 1 species